rnacentral:rRNA from 1 species
UGGCGGCCUUAGCGCGGUGGUCCCACCUGACCCCAUGCCGAACUCAGAAGUGAAACGCCGUAGCGCCGAUGGUAGUGUGGGGUCUCCCCAUGCGAGAGUAGGGAACUGCCAGGCU